rnacentral:lncRNA from 1 species
UUAACAUCACCACUUUGAAGUAUAUUUACAAUACUAUUUACAGCCUAAAAGUCUCACACCUAUCUAUACCAAGACAAGGUUCACAAAAAGGGACGGGAUCUCAAUCCACAUCCGGGUUAUAUUUAAGAUCCCUCUCUGGAUCAUCUUCUUCCUCAAAAGUCUUUCUCCUCUUCAGGUUUCUCCUCCUUAGAUUCUCCUCAGGGUCCUGAAAUGGUUAUUCAAUAACCAAUGAGACCACGUCUCAGCGAGUCCUACCCACUAAGACUCGAUUAAUAAACUAAUACGCCAUACGGUUGCCUAAGCACAACACGAGUCAGAGGACUUACCUUAGCCUCAAUUCCAACCUGCAAUUCAAGGUUAAACACAGAUAUUCAAACAAUUCACGACAUACGAUCAAACAUUGGCCAAUCGACUAAGUCGAUUACAUGUCAAUUAGACCCUCUCUCGGUCAUUCCCACUCGUACCACGCUUUCUCAGUGGUGUACUCAUUCACCAAAUCACAUGUGUUUCUCGGGCGUCGUUUUCGCCAAUGACAUACCGAUCACCGACACCGUGCGUUCUUUAAGGCGCCGUUUUCACCAGUGAUAACCUUGAUCACCGAACCACGUGUCUUCUCAAGGGCGCCGUUUUCGCCAAGGUGACAUCGGCUAUAGACAACAUCGUGCGUUCUUUAAGGCGCCGUUUUCACCAGUGAUAUUCCCAUAAUCACCGAACCACGUGUGUCUAUAAGUCAUUUACGUGCGUUCUUUAAGGCGCCGUUUUCGCCAGUGAUACUUCCAAUCACCGAACCACGUAUGUCCAAUAAUAUCGUACCUGAUUGGUCUCACCAUUCUCCCUACUAUAUAGCCCAUCAACGUACUGGCGCUAUAUAUCCCAGCUUAGCCAUUACCAAUCAAAUACUCAAUAACAAACAAUUUAGGACAAUUCCUAAAAUUCCACAAUAAAUUCAAUUCCACACAACGUAGAGCUCAAAUAAAUAAACGGUCUGCACCACGACAAUCGGCACGAAAUUCCGGUCACCGGCCAUCCCGGUUGAAUUUCCGGAAAAAUAAUUAAUUAAAUAAAUAAAUUUCGAAAAUAAAUAAAUAAACAUUAAAAAUCCAAUUUAGGCUUAUAUUGCCUUAUUGGAGCCCGAAACGGGUCGAGAAAAAUCUCGAGAUACAUUUAAUAAAUAACCAAACAUUUCUACUUGCCAAUAGCUAAGUCUAACCACCUAACAUGCAUCCUCAAGUCACUAAUUUAAGUGUUCUAACCUAAUCUAACCACCUAAGUGCAUGUAAUUAAAUCUAACCAACCCUAAGACAUAAUUAGCAAAUUAAUAAAGCUUUAGUGAGUAAAACUCACUUGACAAAAGCGGGGACCGAAUCACCGCAACGGCGACGCGACGGCGACCGAAAUCCGAACUUUCGGCGGUGUCAACGGACACUCGGGCCGGGUUCAAAAGCCUCACAAGCCCACAGAAAAUUCUGGGCUUGGACUAAACUUGGGCCUGAGUUGGGCUGACUUGCUUCGCGGGCUUGGGCUUCAAGAUUGGGCUGACUUCUUGUGAAAACAAUCAACUUGCUGGGCUGAUUUGCUAGGCUUGAAACUAAUCUGAAAAUGGGCCCAAUCUUGGGCUGAUGGACUGACUCAAUUCGCUGGGCUGAACUGCGUCUUGAAUGGGCUUACUGACUUGGGCUUUAUGUGGACUGCUGGACCGAAAUUGUGGGCCUCAAACGGUCCAAUUGCUGGGCCGAGAAGUCUCUUCGUUGGGCCAAAGACUUGCUGCUUUGGUGGAUUUCGCACGGCCACUGGACUGAACCGAACGGAGAGGAAGAGAUGCAGCUUCGGCGUCGCUCGGUUGAAGACACAGGAUGGAGGACACGCGAGAGAGGGCCAGCACCGAGUGGAGAAGCAGCUGCUGGCGUCGGUCUGCUCGUGGCUUCAAAUCAAGACUCCGCGGGCUUCGCUGGGCCAACGUGCUGGAGAAGAUUGAAGACGGAAGCUGCUCGCGGACGCUGCUUCGUUGGACGCACGAAGCGGCGAGGGGCUUCUUUAGUCAACAAACGGUGGAGUCUUCGCUGGCGUGGACGAUGGAGCAGCUUCGGUUGGAUGUGGAGCUGGCGUGAGUGGCCGACAGGGUCAACAAACGGCAAGGAGCGGCUUCAGUUGACCUGGAUGCGUGGAAAUGGAGCUUCGGUGGAUUGCGCGGACGUGAGGAGCAGCUCCAGUGAAGAUCCCGUGAGCUGGCUUCAGUGGAGUCUUCAACGUGGAGAAGAAUGUUGACCGAAGAAGUAGAUUUCUUGCUUUCCGUAGGUGUUGGCGUCGCACGAAGUGGGGAGGGAGAGAGAUAGCUGUCUGGUUGAGGGGGGUGAGGGAUUCGCUCAAGCAAAGCGGCAGAGAGAGGGAGAGAGGAUUGUGAUGAGAGAUGAGGGCCCUUUAAGCUUGAUAUUUUGCAAAAUAUCUUACACAAGUCAUUCUAGGCCAUGUAUAAUUUACUUGGCUCACAAUAGGCCUCCCAUGCACUCUUCUAGAAGCCCAAGUGGUCCAAAGGUUGUGGCUAGGUGGGGGGUUACGAAUUUUGGGAGAGAUGGCUUAACUUGCACAACCAUUCUCUCCAAAUUGAGGUCCAAUUUUGAUGUAGAAAAAUCCCAAAUGAUUUUCUAUAAUUCCCCGGCACACAACGGCUCAGCUUGAAAGUCAAAUUUCCCAUUCCUUUAGCCAAUCUGAACUUCCGUCAAAUUUCCGCGACGUCCGAAACGGUUUUCCGUAAAAUUCCCCGAAUCUCCGAAAAUUUUCUGAGACUGAGUCGAUGCUCCUACAAUUUAUUGUGACAUGGCCAAAACUUCAAUUUUUGAAAUCUGACUCAAAUCGACGGUUAAUUUCACUCCGGCGUGCUUUUAGUGCAACCUAGACUACCGGGUAGUUUUCAGAACUUUUUAGGGCAAUUGACUCGUGGUCGAUUUUCUUCGAGCCACAAUGAACCCACUCGACACAUUGGCGACUCUCAAUUGUCGUGAAAAUCUCGAGGGCUCGAUUACCAACACAGGAUACCAAAACGACAGAAAAUCAAAUUAGUGCCGGUCGACGAGAAUUUUCCAAUUUA